UGAAGGCAAUUUGUUACGGUGGUCUCCUCAAUCCUCUGAGUUGUUAUAUGCAUGUCCACUUAAUGAACAGAAUUUGUUAUAUGAUAGUACUAUCAGUAACCAAAGAAAGUUUAGGUCGUUAUCUUCAAACCACUUCCCCCUCAUCACUUUGGUUCCGAAUCCCGCUAGGGACAUUUGAUAGCUUCGUGUGUAGAAGCUAUCCAAUUACCUUAUGAAAUAUUUGAGCUUCUACUUAGGUGCACGUGAUACAUGGAGGGACACCAGUAAAGGUGGAAAGAUACCAUUUGACCUCUUCAGUGUUGGUGCGACGCAAAACCCAAUUACAAUUUUACGCUUUGUAUCUUCACGCAUUUUAUAAAGUAUACAUAAAAUGAAAUAAAAAAGAUAAGAUCCGGUAAUUUUUGUUAUACUUUUCAGUUAAGAUACAAUUAGCCCUCAUGCAUAUAUACUGUGCAGUAUAGAUCAAAAUUACGUCCCCUGCAACGCAAUUAUUAUUUAAAGAGUGACGUCCCUUGUCACGCAUGACGUCGUUACUUAGAGACGUCGUUUACGUCAACCAGAAUCAGUAUAGCUUUUGAAAACGCUACCAAAAGAAAACAUACUUAAAAUGACUCGAAUUACGAAUGGAAGACUUUAAAGAGCCAAAGUCUCCCAAAACUCAAGGAGAGACAGGACAAUCUGUCCAUGGCCAAGGUGAGAUAGUCAUCCCAUAGCCAAGACAAAUUAAAGUCUUCUUUAUGCCAAUGCAAGCCUUCUCAUAACCAAGUUGUGGCGGUUAUUGUCACACCUAAGGAUGUUACCCUUCAAAUUCUAGACGAGACCAUGUUGCCCAGAAAUGAUUGUUACACCAAGAGCUCCAGCAACUGCCAAAGUGAAACAAAUUCGAAAGGUAAAACGAAACGUCCGAGAAAAUGGGAGGUGUUCUCCGGAGGGAAUAAAUUCUGUUGUAAAGGAAGAUAUAUCCGUGGACCUGAUAGCACCGGAUACCUGAUCACUCUCGCCUUGAUCUUGAUCAUAGGAGGGCUGUUUUUCAGCUUCGACAGCGUGUAUCUAUCAAAAAGAGUAAGCCCAGUGGUUCCAGCUUUAGGGGUGCCCAUCUUUCUUCUUAUGCUGGUAUUGUUUAACGUGACCGCUUUUACUGACCCCGGAAUUUUACCACGAGCCACCGCUUACGAUAUCGAAUCAAAGCACUGAAUGUACUGAUGGGGAGGCUAUGAGAGAAUGUUUCAGACUUAUAGUUUCUUUUCUUUUUGCUUAAAAUAUGCUACCAAAAUAAAAAGAUAUGCACAUUGCGCUAUUUAUCCUUACUGUUGUGUUCAACCAUUCAUAUUAUAUAUGGUUAAUGAGGUUGACUAUUCAUUUUGUUAAUAUUCCAGAACAUUUAAUUAAGGUCUACAUUCGGACUGUUAAUCAUGCAAAUUUUGAAAAACCUAAACUGUCAAUAAUAAAUGACAUACCAGCAAGUAUGACGACUGUUCAUUAUCAGAUAACAAUAACAUUUUACAACUGACGGUUCCGUAUCAAAAUAUUUUUGGACUGUUCAUCAUAAAUAUUUUAUGUCAUUUUAAUAUUAUUGACUGAUAAUAACAGCUGCAAGUGAUGCAACAUUUUUAUUGAACAUAAAAAUUAUACACGUUUAGAUGUACCAUAAUUGAGAUCAAUAAGAUACUGUCUUGUGAUGAGUAUUAACAUUCAUGCUCUACGGACAGAAGGUUGUCUUCUUCAGAAGCAAAUCUUGAAUAAAAUCACGUUUCAGAAAAUUAAUCCCAUUUCAUUACUGACGGCGUCGGAUAAUAUUAAAGCUAAAUAUUUCUUGAAAAAAAUACAUCUCUGCAAAGCUUAUUCAAAACUGAAUCAACCUAAGUGAAAAUUGAUCAGGAAGUUAUCAGGAAAACAGCCUACUUAUCCCUUGUUAGAUCCACUCUUGAAUACAGCUCAAUUGUAUGGGACCCAUUCCUACAGAAAGAUAUAGACAAGCUUGAGUCGAUCCAACGGAAGGCUGCUAGAUUUAUUUCUGGAGAUUACAAAUCAAGAGAUCAAGGCUGCGUUACCAAGAUGUUGAAGCAACUUGAGCUAUCUCCAUUACAAGACAGAAGGAAAAUGGCACGAUUGACAUUCUUCUUCAAGGUGGCUGAGGGGCUGGUGCCAGCCAUGCCCACCGAUACCUAUCUGACCCCUAUUCGUGGUAAACGCCUAAUUAAACCUAAGAAACUAGACAAUUACAUAACUAAAAACAUUGUAGAAAAACAAGCUAUAAACCAUAAAAAGUGCUAUAAACCUAUUAUCUCAAAAAGUGACCAAUUUGAACAUUCAUUCUUUCCUAAGACUAUUGGUGAUUGGAAUAAUUUAGACAGUGCCGUUGUGUGCGCAGAGACAGUACAGAGCUUUAAAACAGCUCUCCAACAGUGCUACUAAAUUACUUAGCUCCUCUCUCCCGCUGCGUACAUACCGGAAGGUUCUGCAGUGUACACAAUCAGAUUCAGAUUCAGAUUCAGUUAUAUCUUCUUUUUUUACCGCCAACACUCAACACUCAACCAACUUAUGGUAGUUAAUCGAUAGAUUCUACGUGUAUUUUUAAACCUCACUAGCUUGAAAUAUAUACUGCGGAAAAUCUGUUGUUAACAGGGUGUGCGGUUAUUACGUAGGGUUUUCCCUGUCGACCAUUUCCCGCAAAUAGAUGAGAACAUCGAAGCCGUCAGUGCUAUGAAUGGUGUUAUAAAUGGCGUGUUUUGGAAGUUUUUGUUGAAACUUCUCCAAAUACCUCCAGAGGCGUGCACGUCGCGGAGAAGGCACACGGAAGGUCAUAGUCAAGUCAUCAUAAGUACCAGAGGUGAUUGGUUGACCUGUCGUGACUUACUCUGGAGGUUUGGCGCUAAUAUAUGCCGUUUUUGUUGUCGUCAGUCAGAAAGUUGAUGCCUUGACGGUAUUGUCGUCUCCUUUACCACCAAAGAACGAAGAAUGGGCUUCCAGGAAGAAUCUGCUUGAAAAAGACGUCCCAGAUGCUAUAAUCUCGGACAUAUGGUUAUUCCGGCGCCGAGUAUAAAUAAACUUAAAACACACACACUUUUGUUGAAAACAAAACAACAACACAUUUUCUGUAGUAAUUUUUCAAGUGUUGUAAAAUGAAUAAGAAAUUCCUCUUAUGCCGCCCAUUAUUUUUAGAACACAACCAUAAAAGUUCUUUUUUUUAUUUUUCAAAUAAACAUUUAUCACUUCAGCGCGAGCAAAUUUCGGUUUCAAAUUAAAGUUUCGUAAGAUAUGUUAAUGACUUCCCGAUGCUCGACUGUAAGUAAUGUGUAUAUGUAUGCGGUUUUUUUUGUUUUUGUUCUUUUGUUUUUUAAUUAAAGCUUCUUAUUCUUUAAUAUUUUUUAUGUAUCUCAUAAUCUGUAUUGAAAAAUUGAAUUUUAUUACAAAUGGACAAUCAAAUUAUGAUGUAUGCCCUAGAAUUGAAUAAACUUUCUAAUUACACAAUACGGGGUCAUACUGAUCUUUGCGUCUUUCUCUGAAAUAAUUAUUUCCUUGUUAAAACAUAUUUGACCACAUAUUUCUGUCAAUUAACUGUUCACUUUACUUCCGAUUUUGUUGUACGGAAACACAUGUUUCUAUUUGUGUUUUCUAAUCAAUUCGAAUCUAUAAUCAGUUUAAUGGGAUCACCACCGGGUAAACGACUACAAGGUACUUUGGUCAUGUUUUUUACCACAAAUAUUUGAAUGUUUCUAUUGGGAUUAAAAUGAGCAUAGUUAAUUAAACAACUGUUUGUAUAAAUUCCUGACCUGUCUAAUUCUAAUUAUGAGAUUAGUGAAUAUAUAAGACUUUCACUACAAAAUAUUCCUAAACAAAAGAGCACAUGUUUAAAUUUAUUCCUAUACAAAUAAAAGAUCAGAGUAGGGAUCUGUCAAUUACCAAAGAUACUUUUAUGUUAAAAGUUUGAUUAAUGAAUUAUGUAAGAUGAAAAUAUAAGUAUUGCUUUUUUUAUUUUGCUAAUGUAAAAUGUAAUAUUGUGCUGGAAUUUUGUCGGAGGUCCUUAGGGGUUUUGUAGUUAAAUAGUUUUUUUUUCGGCGAUAAUGGUUAAAGAAUAUAAUUUUUAAACUAUAUG